GGACCCGUAGCUCAGUUGGUUAGAGCGUUCGAUUCACAUUCGAAAGGUCAGUGGUUCGAGUCCACUCGGGUCCACCA
rnacentral:tRNA from 1 species